ensembl:miRNA
AUCACCUGGGGAUCUGGUUAAAAUGAAGAUUCUGAUUCAGUAGGUCAGGGAUAAGGCCUGAGAAUCUGCAUUUCUAACAAGCUCUUAAGUGAU